rnacentral:rRNA from 1 species
GACGAACGCUGGCGGCGUGCUUAACACAUCCAACUCGAACGGAAAGGCACUGCUUUUGUGGGGUGCUCGAGUGGCGAAAGGGUGAGUAACAUGUGAGUAACCUGCCCUUGACUUUGGGAUAACUCCAGGAAACUGGGGCUAAUACCGGAUAGGAGCUCCUGCUGCAUGGAGGGGGUUGGAAAGUUACGGCGGUUGGGUAUGGACUCGCGGCUUACCAAGUUGUUGGUGGGGUAGUGGCUUACCAAGGCUUUGACAGGUCGCGAGCCUGUGUGGGUGACCGGCCACGUUGGGACUGAGAUACAGCCCAGACUCCUACGGGAGGCAGCAGUGGGGAAUAUUGCACGAUGGGAGGAAACCUGAUGCAGCAACGCCGCGUGCGGGAUGACGGCCUUCGGGGUGUAAACCGCUUUCGCCUGUGACGAAGCGUGAGUGACGGUAAUGGGUAAAGAAGCACCGGCUAACUACGUG